CUAAAUCCGGUUCCAGAUGGUCCCUUGCCCGCAACGGCAAGGGCUAAGAGGGAAUGCGGUGCCGGGCAAAAUCCCAAAUCCGCGGCUGUCCCCGCAACUGUAAGCGAAGAGCCAAGGCCGAAAACCACUGGGAAUUCCCGGGAAGGCGGCUACCCAAGGCGAUGACUCGCGAGCCAGGAGACCUGCCGUCUGCGACUGUAGAAU
rnacentral:ncRNA from 2 species